rnacentral:rRNA from 1 species
AGCGAACGCUGGCGGCAGGCCUAACACAUGCAAGUCGAACGAACCUUUCGGGGUUAGUGGCGGACGGGUGAGUAACACGUGGGAACGUGCCUUUAGGUUCGGAAUAACUCAGGGAAACUUGUGCUAAUACCGAAUGUGCCCUUCGGGGGAAAGAUUUAUCGCCUUUAGAGCGGCCCGCGUCUGAUUAGCUAGUUGGUUGAGGUAAUGGCUCACAAAGGCGACGAUCAGUAGCUGGUCUGAGAGGAUGAUCAGCCACAUUGGGACUGAGACACGGCCCAAACUCCUACGGGAGGCAGCAGUGGGGAAUCUUGCGCAAUGGGCGAAAGCCUGACGCAGCCAUGCCGCGUGAAUGAUGAAGGUCUUAGGAUUGUAAAAUUCUUUCACCGGGGACGAUAAUGACGGUACCCGGAGAAGAAGCCCCGGCUAACUUCGUG